rnacentral:sRNA from 1 species
UCAUGGCCGAUACUUCGGAGCCCUUGA